rnacentral:tRNA from 1 species
GGGGAAGUAGCUCAGUUGGUAGAGCGUUGCGUUACAGCGACUGGUCAGCGGUUCGAGUCCGUUCUUCUCCA